rnacentral:lncRNA from 1 species
AUGAAAUAUAGGCUUCUGUUAUUUAUCAAUAUCUAGUAAGAUAUCUAGUUUGUUAUAAUGAAUUGUUUUAUCUAUGAACAUUGCUCUCUCCCAAUACAAUUUGUGUGCUAUAUUCUCUAAAACUUUAUCAGGAAUAUAUUUUGUUGUAUAGAACUUAAUUUUAAUUUAUAUUCUAUAGUUAGUUUUUGACGAAUGAUUUUAAUACCAGAUCAUGCCUAUGUUUGUAAUGUUUGUAGUCUCUCUGUACAAGGGAUUUGCAAACAGAAAUAAUGUGUUAGAUUAUUUUAUUGGUGAUGUGACAUCUGCAUCUGCAUUUUUCAUCAAUUAAAAUGUCCUUUAAAAUGUAUUUUAGUAAUUUUUCUGUGUUGAUAAGCUGGUUUAUUAUUAUUGUUAUUGUUGAUUGCACAGUUGUCUUUAUUAUGACUGGAAAUAGUGUUGAUCUGCUUAUUGAGUCUACCCAAGGAUCUGGGUAAACUUGAUAUGACUAUUAUUGAUAUGAUGUUAAAAGUAUUAUCAUAGUAUGUAUGCUGUUCCAAGUAAGAUGGCCUUACUUCACUGAUUGCUUGAUAUUGAUGAUGAUCAAGUGAUCAGCCAUGAUUUUACCAGAUGUUUUGGUAUUGCACCUAGGGUGCCUAUUACUAUCAGUAUUACUUUUGCUCUUCUCUAUCACAACCUUUCAAUUUCAAUUUGGAAGUUUAUAUUUUGUUAUUUUUUCUGUUCUUUUUCUUCUAUUCUGCUGUUGCCAAAUAUUGCUAUAUCAACUAUCCAGACUUUUUCUUCUUUCCUAUGAUGGUAACAUCUGGAAUAUUAUGUGGAAAAUGUUUAUCUGUUUGUAUUCUAAAACUCCAGAACAUUUUUACAUGUUUAUUUUCUUUGUAUACUUGGUGGUCCCACUUGCUCUUGCUUGUAGGCAACUCUACUUCUUGCAGAAAUUCCAAUGCACCAGAUUUGCUAUGUUGCCAUGCCUUUUUUUAUAAUCAGUCUGAAUGAUCAUCUUGAACCUGCUGACUAGUUCACUGUUUCUUUUGAUUAUUUGCAAAGACUGCAUUUGCUGUCUGCUGAUGUUUUCUCAUUUCUGGCUUUAUAUUCAUUAUCUUUGUGCCUGAUAUUAUUCAGCAGAAUUUGCCCCUAUAUUUCUUUUUUCAGUUUUUCUGCUCUGAGCCAUUGCAGUGUUUUGUUAUCAGGUUUGCUGAUAACAAAACAUGGCAAUGGGAAAUGGCUGUUUUUUAAGUACUGGCCAUACAUUGGUGUAACUUGCUAUUUUUCAGUUCUAUUCUUGACUUGUGUCUUCUUCAGUUCUAUUUCUGAACUUCUUAAAGACCAGUUUUGUUUCUCUGGUAAUUAACAGCUUUUCAUUAUAUACAAACUUUAGAGCAUCUUCUUCUCUGUCAUUUACAUAUUCUUCUAAUGCCUUUUAUUCUUCUUUUACUGACUGAUAUACUUGUGGAAGUCUAUGCACACUUACUAGUUUUGAUAAAUAUAGCUAUUGAUAUCAUUUUGUGGGUGGCAUAUAUGGUGCAUUGUUAUUAAUUUUCUGGUUUUUCUAUCCAGGGCAUCUAAUUUUGCUUUCAUCCAGUCAAUUAUUACAUCUGUGUAUCUUAAUAAUGAUAUUGCCCAUUGGAACUUUAGGAUGCUACUCAGCUUUCUGAUGUAUUCAUUGCUGGCUUUCCAUUUCACUUCAGUAUAUUUGAAGAUUUCUACUUAAAUGAUAACCAAAUAUUUUUAAUUUUCUUUUUUCUCAAGUUCUUUGAUGUUAUUUCAUAUGGCAUUUUGAUUCCUUUACUUUUUACUAAUUUUUCUCUUUUGAUUGUAAAUGUAGC